CCUAAAUUUUACCUCCAGUGGUUGGAAUGUCUGAUAAAUAAAUGUUUAACAUAAUAAAUGUUCAAAAUAUUGCGAGUUUGGUCUUUGAAUAAAGUUUUCUUGUUUAGCUUCAUUUUUAGUUAUAUUAUUUAUUUCACAUAUGGCUGUUAUAGGUUUGCAUGAGUAUUCUGCAAUCACGUAAUUCAUUGACUUGCAAUCAGGUUGGUAGAAUCUACACAUAUCACAACAUUCUUCCAGAGAAUUGACGAAACAUUCUUCUACCAUGUGACCAACUAAAGCACCU